CCAUGUUACAACAACAGCAGUCUAAGCACACAUUUAGUUGACUAUAAACUGGAUGAGAUAUCUACGUUGCUGAAAAUAUGAUAGAAGUAAAGCAAAGUUUUCAGUAAAUUGUGAAACUGCGUGUUUUGUGUGGUUAAGGCACUGGGAGAAAUCUGUGCUCUUUAAAUAGUGCCAGGAGGAUGAUAAACACCGACCGGAACUGAGAUUCGUAUUUCAAUUUACUGACAACACAGCCAACAAUCUCUCUGUAAGUGCAAGUUUUAUAUUUUAAAAAAAUCGACUUUUUAUCUGGAGCGCUACAACAAGAACGAAAUGGAAUCGGGCGGCUCUAGACACAAGGGAGCGUCUCCAAAUGAGAUCACACAACGGACACCUUUUGGGGGAUGAUGCUACGAGUCGGAAAAUUAAAAGACGUGGGAGGGAAACUGGGCGCGUUGUUCUUGAACCUGCGCCUCCUCCUUUUAAAAUAAACAGAACCCCGUGAGAAAGGGAAACGGCCAGUUGCCUUUCUUUCAAUAUUCCCUAUUCUUAACUGCCCUCUGGCAUUAAGGGAUGGGCAAUAAAUGCUGGCUUUGCCCACCACCCAGGGACGAAUAAAAGCUAUUUUGGAUCAAUCCCUUUUGGAGACGGUCCCUGAAAGCUGGAAUCAGUGACCGUGUUGAGGUGGCCCCUUUCAAAGAAAAUAAAAAUGCGCCACAAUGCGGUUGGUGUGGAGAGAGGAGGCUGAGAGAGAGAGAGGCAUAAAAGGAAAGUAACUGCAGCAAUAAUAUGCAUCGUUUACAAAAAGGCGAAAUAAAUGUGUAAAGAUUUUUUUAAUGCAAAGGCAGAAAGUGCUCCAGUUUUUAAUCCCGGCGGAUGAUUGACAGAUGGGACUGAUUGGCAGACAGAUGGACCAAUAAGAAGCGAGAUCAUGAAGAUGACCAAUGGAAAGGGGAGGGAGAAAAGAUACUGGAGGGCAAGCAGCCAAUGGGAGUGGUCAUAUGCUAAUACGGCAACGUUGCAGCACCAAUGGGAACGGGGCGGGGGCCGCCCUUGAAACUUUUUUUGUAACAAACACAUCAGCUGGAGGCUCACGUGGGCCCGCGGCGUCCAUCAGUCCCAGGCAGAGAGACAAGCCCUAGUGAUGUCUCUUACUAGAGAAAGAUCUCACUCCAUUAGAUUGCAAUAAACUGAAACCACAAAUAACAGCCAAAGUGCAGGGCAGGGGGACAGUGUAAUGAGGCCGAGCACUUGGUACUGCGGCGAUUGACAGGGGCUGUCAAGAGCUCCUGGCAUUACCGAUCCCGUUGCAACCCUUAAAGAGAGAACAAGGCUGUGCAAUUGAAAAGCCAAGAGUGUCUUCGCCUCUGAUGGUCGUGCCUAAUUUUUAAUCAUCCCGGACUGGAUUUUCCUUUUCGUGUUGAAGUUUUCAUCAGAAAACACCGGAGGAGUGGAUUUUGGGGAGUUCGAUUGCAAAGUGUCAGGAAUCUCGGCAGGUCUGGCAGCAUCUGUGGGAGAGAAAACAAAGUUAAUGUUUCGGGUCCAGAGACAACUCUUCAGAACCGAUUGUAGCCAGGAAAA